rnacentral:rRNA from 1 species
GUCUGCGGCCAUGCCACCCUGAACAAGCCUGAUCCCGUCUGAUCUCGGAAGCUAAGCACGGUCAGGCCUGGUUAGUACUUGGAUGGGAGACCACCUAGGAAGACCAGGUGCUGUAGGUG